rnacentral:misc_RNA from 1 species
AAGGAGUUUUUGUUUUUCAAUGGGCACUGGUUGGUGUUUGUUGUUUAUUUUUUUAAUCCGGGUGGAUCGGUGUUGUGUGUGAUUGUGUGCUGCUAACAGUUGGUGGCUGUGCAUGGUUGUGUGAUGGUGUGUUGUUGUGUGUUGUGUUGAUUGUGGGAAGUGUUGUUUGUUGUGUUGGCAUGCUGUUGGGUGUCUGGGAUGAUGCACUGUGGUGUUGAUUCUUGUGGCUGCUUGUUGUGCUGGUGGUGAUCCUGUGUGGGUUGUUGUUGGUGUGGUGGGUGGUUGUGUUGUGUGAGAACUGUAUAGUGGACGCGAGUAAUAAUCUUUAUUCUUUUUAGUUCUUGGUAUUUUUUGUUUGCAUAUUUGUGUGUUGUUUU